rnacentral:rRNA from 1 species
UACGUAGGGUGCAAGCGUUAAUCGGAAUUACUGGGCGUAAAGCGUGCGCAGGCGGUUUUGUAAGUCUGUCGUGAAAUCCCCCGGGCUCAACCUGGGAAUUGCGAUGGAGACUGCAAGGCUAGAAUCUGGCAGAGGGGGUAGAAUUCCACGUGUAGCAGUGAAAUGCGUAGAGAUGUGGAGGAACACCGAUGGCGAAGGCAGCCCCCCUGGGUCAAGAUUGACGCUCAUGCACGAA